UCAAUCUCCUGACCUCAUGAUCCACUGGUCUCAACCUCCUAAAGUACUGGGAUUGCAGGCGUGAGCCACCACACCCGGCCCUAUCUUUUAUUUUCAUAUUGAAGAUUAAUCAGAUUUGCUUCACCCUCAAAGAGCCUGUUUAUGUAAAAUUAGAUGAGUGCAGGCAGCGAGCUGAACUUUCGCUUUUUUUUUCCUAAACAGGAAAUAGGAAGAAGAUACUGUCUCUGCAUACAAAUAGCUGGAAAAAUACAUAAGUGUUACCUUUUCUGGUGAAAAGGGUUGGAAGACAAUUUAUCUGAUGCUACACUAUGCUUCCUCUCAUAAUUGCUUUACUGUAAACAUAACAACAAGGUUGUAGUGGGAGGAGGGGGGUUGCUUGCUGUCAGUGUUGAUCUUUGGGGCCUUAGCCAAGAUUUCAGACAUCAUUUGCUCCAGUCCUUUCAUUUUCUUUAUGGUGAAAAGUAAAGUAACUUGCCUAAGAUUUUUCUUGGUCCUAAACACUGCUGUCUCUACUACAGAUCCCUAUUAAGGGUAAUGCAUGUUUUAGCCUGUGCACUUUUUUAAGAGUUAGCAUCCUGGAGAAGAGUAACAACAACUGAAAAAAGAGAUUCAAGAGUCAAGUACUGAGCCCAUGGCAGGGGAUGGGGAAAUGGUGCCUGGAGCCACCCCUAUACUCGAGUCUCCCUGGCAUCAGCUACUGCAGCAUUGGGGUACGUUCCCUUGUCUUUUUCUGAAGAUAGUUAUUUCUUCAUAUCUGAUGGUUGGAAAGAGCAGAACUGCUCAGAAAACAAACACAUUUGACUUUCUUGUCUGCCAGAUAAAUCUCUUAUUUGUCAGGGAACUGGUAACCUAGGAUCAAGAAGUGUGUGGAGAAUGUCUACUUUCAUUCUUUUUACUUUAAAAUAUGCUUUAGUUUUUGAAUAGAUAGGACACUCAAGUGUCAGAAAGCAAAAGUCAGCUCAGGACCGAGAAAGGAAAGAUCAGUGCUAAUUUUAAUCAGACUGUGAUGUACCUACUAGAUACAGAUAGGGCCAGUGGCAAGGCCAUCAGAAAACUUUUUCCCAAGGCCACACCACACCUGUAAAACACCUAAUAACUUUCUUUUUUUCAGUGAUUACCACUUACUUACCAGUGACUUCACUUUGUUCCUCUUGCCUCUGAACAGAUUGCUGAGAUACUCAAUCCAGAGCUGAUCCUUGCCUCCCUAGACUCUCCUCAGUCAUUCAACAGAAGCCCAAAUCCUGUAAAAGUUCCUUUCUGUUCUCUUACUGUUAUAUCCUUGGUUUCUCUGGUGUGGAGUCUUCUUUACAGCAGCAAACUCAUAAACUUAACUUUGACUGCAGGUGUAUUCCUCGGUGGUCUUUAUCUGAUAGACUUUGUCACAUGGUACAAUAUUCAAAAGGUAUUCCAAAAAAAAUUUUCCACCUACUUCUCUCCUUAGUCACCCAAUUCUCAAGAAGCAAUCAGUGUUGCCAUUUUCCUGAGUAUUCUUCCAGAUAUAGUAAAUUAUCUGCAGAAAAAUGCAUACAUUAAAAAUAAGGCUAGGCACAUAUUUUUAAGUGCCAU